GUGCUCACUUUGGCAGCACAUAUACUAAGAUUGGAACGAUACAGAGAAGAUUAGCAUGGCCCCUGCACAAGGAUGACACUCAAAUUCGUGAAGCAUUCCAUAUAAAA
rnacentral:snRNA from 1 species